AUGGUGACAUGCUCAAACCUCCCAUUUGAUGAAACACAAUGGAUCAUCCGGAUUCGUCGAAUCCUUGAAGAGGAGAUCGAGCUAGAAGAUGACCAGCCCAUCUCCAUCUUUCAUGUCCUCAAGCCCCUGUUGUGCACUAAGCCUGAAGCGUAUGUGCCUCAGCUGGUGGCCCUGGGUCCUUACCACCAUUGCCGUGAAGGACUCCGUGACAUGGAGAUGUACAAGCUCUCGGCAGCCAAGAGAGCCCAAAGCCACCUGACAAGUAUGAACUUCCAGCAACUUGUGGACGUCUUCGCCACAUUCGAGCACCGGAUUCGUUCUCACUAUCACAGGCAACUCAAUCUCACCAACGAGACACUGGCGUGGAUGAUGGCGAUCGACAUGUCGUUUCUUCUUGAGUUCCUGCAGACUUUCUGCGAGACCAAAAACCAGAGGACACUACAAAGGAUGCCCUCGAGGAUGUCGCAUCUGGUUGACCCAUCUCAUAGGACAUCUGUACACAGCAUGCUGCUACGUGACAUCGUGAUGCUGGAGAACCAGAUUCCGAUGUUUCUUCUCGUAAAAUUAGUCGAGAUGUGGUGCUCGUCAGGCCAUGGCGUGCCACGGCCUAGUCUGAGCUCCAUUUUGUCCGGGUUCUUUCAGGAGGUCUGCUUGCUCAAGGGGAUAAGCUCUCCAUGCACCGACGCCACACGACACGCCCACUUGCUAGAUUUCCUAUACUCUAACAUGUUGCCGUGUGGUUGUGUGGAAGAGUCGGAUGGUGGAACGGAAGAAGCCGGAGAUGAGUUGAGUGACCACCCGCAGAGAUCGACUAUGAGUUCAAUAACAGAAUUGCUCGUGAAGCGUGGCUUGAAGUUGGCGUCGUUGGUGACAGAUUUCAUGGUGAGGAUGUUUCUAAAGUUCCUAGCCACUCUUCCAUGCCUGUCAAUGGUGAGGCAACCCAUCGAGCAGCUAGCUACUCAACGAGGCGCCCUUGAACCCAAGGGUGCAUCCGAUGUUCAGAACAGAAACAUAUCACCUCUGCUCGAGGAGAUCGCGGUGCCUUCUAUCUCCGAGCUCGCCUAUGUGGGUGUCACAUUCACCCCAACAACCGGUGGCAUCUCCACGAUCGAAUUUUGCGCGAGAACCGCGAUGCUGCACCUCCCGGUGAUCAGCAUCGACAUGACCACUGAAGUCGUCCUGCGGAACCUGGUGGCCUACGAGGCAUCGAUCGGCUCUAGGGCACUGGUCUUCGCGCGGUACGUCGAGCUCAUGAACGGGAUCAUCGACACCGACGAGGAUGCCCGACUGCUGAGGGAGCACGGGAUCAUAUUGAACCACCUCAAGAGUGACCAGGAAGUGGCCGAGCUGUGGAACGGGAUGACCCGGUCGGUGAGGCUGACGAGGGUGCCGGCUCUGGACAGAGUGAUCGACGAGCUUAAUCGGUACCAUGGGGCCUGCUGGAAGGUGAGGGCCGGGACGUUCGUGAAAGCGCACCUUCUUGGCUCCAGGGACAUGGUUGCUUGCGCCAUGAUGGUUCUUCUCUUGUUGUUCGUCGGCGUCCAAGCUUUCUGCCUAUCUCGUGGUUGCCUCAUUUCUUGGCGCGGGAUGGGCAUGGUCAGGAGAAGAAAUGUUUGUAACAUCCUCAAAAAUUGA
rnacentral:rRNA from 1 species